rnacentral:rRNA from 1 species
UACGUGAGGGCGCAAGCGUUGUCCGGAAUCAUUGGGCGUAAAGAGCUCGUAGGCGGCCUGUCGCGUCCGCUGUGAAAUCCCGGGGCUUAACCCCGGGCGUGCAGUGGAUACGGGCUGGCUGGAGGCAGGCAGGGGGAGAACGGAAUUCCCGGUGUAGCGGUGAAAUGCGCAGAUAUCGGGAGGAACACCGGUGGCGAAGGCGGUUCUCUGGGCCUGUACUGACGCUGAGGAGCGAAAGCGUGGGGAGCGAACAGG